AGACGUCUACAUUAGAUACCCGGGUAGUCCCAGCCGUAAACUAUGCGCGUUAGGUGUAUCGGUGACCACGAGUUACCGAGGUGCCGAAGGGAAACCGUGAAACGCGCCGCCUGGGAAGUACGGUCGCAAGGCUGAAACUUAAAGGAAUUGGCGGGGAGCACCACAACGGGUGGAGCCUGCGGUUUAAUUGGACUCAACGCCGGGAAGCUCACCGGAUAAGACAGCGGAAUGAUUGCCGGGCUGAAGACUCUGCAUGACUAGCUG
rnacentral:rRNA from 1 species